UACGUAGGGUGCAAGCGUUGUCCGGAAUUAUUGGGCGUAAAGAGCUCGUAGGCGGUUCGUCGCGUCGGCUGUGAAAACCUGAGGCUCAACCUCAGGCCUGCAGUCGAUACGGGCGGACUUGAGUACUGCAGGGGAGACUGGAAUUCCUGGUGUAGCGGUGAAAUGCGCAGAUAUCAGGAGGAACACCGGUGGCGAAGGCGGGUCUCUGGGCAGUUCCUGACGCUGAGGCACGAAGGUCAGGGGAGCAAACGGG
rnacentral:rRNA from 1 species